rnacentral:rRNA from 1 species
GACGAACGCUGGCGGCGUGCUUAACACAUGCAAGUCGAACGGAAAGGCCCUGCUUUUGUGGGGUGCUCGAGUGGCGAACGGGUGAGUAACACGUGAGUAACCUGCCCUUGACUUUGGGAUAACUUCAGGAAACUGGGGCUAAUACCGGAUAGGAGCUCCUGCUGCAUGGUGGGGGUUGGAAAGUUUCGGCGGUUGGGGAUGGACUCGCGGGUUAUCAGCUUGUUGGUGGGGUAGUGGCUUACCAAGGCUUUGGCGGGUAGCCGGCCUGAGAGGGUGACCGGCCACAGUGGGACUGAGGUACGGCCCAGACGCCUACGGGAGGCAGCAGUGGGGACUAUUGCACAAUGGGCGGAAGCCGGAUGCAGCAACGCCGGGUGCGGGAUGACUGCCUUCGGGUUGUAAACCGCUUUCGCCUGUGACGAAGCGUGAGUGACGGUAAUGGGUAAAGAAGCACCGGCUAACUACGUG